rnacentral:rRNA from 1 species
GAUGAACGCUAGCGACGUGCCUAAUACAUGCAAGUCGAGCGAACAGACGAGGAGCUUGAUCCUCUGACGUAAGCGGCGGACAGGUAAGUACCACAUGGAUAACCUACCUAUAAGACUGGGAUAACUUCGGGAAACCGGAGCUAAUACCGGAUAAUAUAUUGAACCGCAUGGUUCAAUAGUGAAAGACGGUUUUGCUGUCACUUAUAGAUGGAUCCGCGCCGCAUUAGCUAGUUGGUAAGGUAACGGCUUACCAAGGCGACGAUGCGUAGCCGACCUGAGAGUGUGAUCGGCCACACUGGAACUGAGACACGGUCCAGACUCCUACGGGAGGCAGCAGUAGGGAAUCUUCCGCAAUGGUCGAAAGCCUGACGGAGCAACGCCGCGUGAGUGAUGAAGGUCUUCGGAUCGUAAAACUCUGUUAUUAGGGAAUAACAAAUGUGUAAGUAACUAUGCACGUCUUGACGGUACCUAAUCAGAAAGCCACGGCUAACUACGUG